rnacentral:lncRNA from 1 species
GGGGCUUUGAGUGGAUCACCUGUAGAGGUCGGACACACUGUGUGGCUGCUCAACAUCAGAAAGGACCUCCUACCACAUCCAUCAAUACUAGUGAUCAUCGAUCCAUAAUUAGGUAAUAGGUUCUGAACUCAUCGGAUCAGAUCUAAGCGUUAGAUCUGAUUCAGGGCAUCGAUACGAUCAAUGCAGUAUUUGCUUUCAGAUCGGAUUUUUUUUGUAUAAUAUUUUCAUGUCAUAGAUCC